UUAAAACAAUUCUUCAAUUAUAUUAGUGCACUAACGAUUUUACUCUCUUUGUUUGUAUCAAUAGCGUGAAAGUUCCACUUGCUUUAACUAUAUAAAAGAGUUGUAGGAUGAAAUAGAAUCUAAGGGUCAAACAAGUGGUUCGGAUAAGCUGGUGUGUGCAUUGGUUUGGUCUUUUUCCAGUUGCGGCUGCUGGUGUUUUUGGCCUAUGGUACUUGUUUUUAUGUGCUUUCGUGCUCUGUUCUUGACUGAUUGGAUUCUUAGUUUAUGUUAUUCUUGAAGGCCUNNNNNNNNNNNNNNNNNNNUUUCCUGGCGUCUGUCUUUUGAAUUUUGGCUCUCUUGUUUGUGGUUCUGUAUCUGUUAUUGCUGCUGGUAGUUUGGGUAAGGUGAUGGUUUUUGGGACUUGUAGCUUUUUAGUUUUUAGUACCAGCUGUUAUUUCAUGGUUUCUUACUUCUUGAUUUUUAUUUUUAUUUGCAUUUGUUCCUGUGAUUUCUUUUGUAAGUUUUUGCUUUUGAUUGAUUUUGGUGUUGAUUCAUGACUUUACCAGUUAUGUUAAAUUAGGUGACAACAAGUUCAUUGCUGAUGAAGAGAAUGCCACUUAUAGCUGCUGCAUUAUUGGUCUCUUAACUUUCCUUAAUAUUGUAUUUGUCAUUUUAAAUUUUUAAAGGUGAUGGUUUAUUUCAAAUUGGUUGAAAGGUUCCUGUGUCCUUUGUUCAUCAUGAUUAUGCUUUAUGUCUGUUAUAAUAAUGACUACAAUUCUUGUAUGUACUACCAUUUUCAACUUUUCUAGAAUUGCAUCAGUGUCGAUGCACUGGAGUAUGCUAACAAGGCCAAAAAAAGUUGCAUGAUGAUGUUGAAAACAUAUGCUCAAAUCCUUGUAGUUUAUGAGGUUCACAAUUGUUGCUCUAAACAAAUUCUCUAGGUCCAAAAGUUACUGGUAUGGAAUUCUUCACAUAUAGAUUGAAUGGUAGAUU
rnacentral:lncRNA from 1 species